GACUAAUUAAGGAAGAAAUCACAAAGUUAUGCAACAGUUUGCAAGCUUCGUAGUUGGGCUUCUUUUUGUUAUGCAUGCCCUAGGCGAGUUUACUACACAUGCUCAUCAAGGUAAAAAAGAGUUUUCAGUGACCGGAAAUGGACCAUCUGAUCAACAGCUGGGUCAAGGAUGACAGGGCUUGGAGGAAGAAAAAUGGUGGCACACAAAGUGUUUAGGAAGUUAGAGCCUGUAAGUGCAGUUGGGCCAAAUGGAGAUACCCGUAGCUCUACUACAUCAACGAAUUCAGGUAAGGACAGUACUUAUCCAUUGAAAGAGACUACUAAGUAUGAUGAAACUGAUGAUCAUUAGUUGACAGAGGAAACAAGAAGGCUUCUUAAGGCAACAAGAGAAACAUUAAGCCUGAUGAAUAAAGAUUAUAAGGGAA